AGUGAACGCUGGCGGUAGGCCUAACACAUGCAAGUCGAACGGCAGCACAGUAAGAGCUUGCUCUUACGGGUGGCGAGUGGCGGACGGGUGAGGAAUACAUCGGAAUCUACUUUUUCGUGGGGGAUAACGUAGGGAAACUUACGCUAAUACCGCAUACGACCUACGGGUGUAAGCAUGGGAUCUUCGGACCUUGCGCGAUUGAAUGAGCCGAUGUCGGAUUAGCUAGUUGGCGGGGUAAAGGCCCACCAAGGCGACGAUCCGUAGCUGGUCUGAGAGGAUGAUCAGCCACACUGGAACUGAGACACGGUCCAGACUCCUACGGGAGGCAGCAGUGGGGAAUAUUGGACAAUGGGCGCAAGCCUGAUCCAGCCAUACCGCGUGGGUGAAGAAGGCCUUCGGGUUGUAAAGCCCUUUUGUUGGGAAAGAAAAGCAGCAGGUUAAUACCCCGCUGUUCUGACGGUACCCAAAGAAUAAGCACCGGCUAACUUCGUG
rnacentral:rRNA from 1 species